rfam:Phytophthora infestans T30-4 supercont1.118 genomic scaffold, whole genome shotgun sequence.
UCCCAAAUAGUCUAGGCGGUUAGGGUACGGGGCUUUCACCCACGCGACCCGGGUUCAAGACCGGGUUUUGGAA